CAGGACAUCCUUUCCGAGAAGAAAAGGAUACCCACGCUGCUCAUAGGUUUCUGCUAUGUAGCGGCAGAUUGCUCUUGAUUCUGCAGAAACUAAAUUUCUGCAAGAGGGAAUAAACUAUGAAGAGCUCAGCGAAGCUUGGUCAACAGCGACCGUCAAGCACAGGGAAAGAUGUUUAAAAUUCCUGUACCAAUCAUUUGAAGGCUAGAUAUAUGCACAAGACAUAAAAUGAAUUCAACUUGUUGAUACAGGUAACAGCAUCCCAUUCUAUGGUAUGUGAUUAAUAAAAAAAGGAAAUGUUUUCCUAUAGCCACGCAAAUUAAGCUUAGUGGAACAAUGGAUACACCUUGCCAAACUAAGACAGAUAGAUUGUGCAACAAACAGUGUUACCUUGUAGAAAUGUGGGUCCAUCGUAGAAUGGAACAGGAACACUCCUCGAUGCCUAUAUAUAGUCAUCGAAAUAAAUAAAAAAAAUAAAUAAGAUAUAAACAUGAUAUGAUGCAUAAACCCAAUUAAGAAACUGUUGUCUCUACAUUCUGGGUGUUGCCCAAAAAAAAAAAAAGAAGACAGAAAAUGUGGCACCUGGAGCCUGAGGAUGUCCUUGUAAGAGGCCUUGACAGUCUCAGCCUGGAUGUCUUUCUCAUACAGGCAUGCAAGCACCCUGGACACAUCAGGCAGGAUCAUGGAUUUCUCAUGGUAUAGCUUCACAACAGGAGCUCCUGCUCCUGUGCUAAGCCCUGCCAUGAUAGAUA